rnacentral:rRNA from 1 species
CAAAAUGGAGAGUUUGAUCCUGGCUCAGGAUGAACGCUGGCGGUAUGCUUAACACAUGCAAGUCGAACGGUCUCUUCGGAGAUAGUGGCGGACGGGUGAGUAACGCGUAAGAAUCUACCUUCAGGUCGAGGACAACCACUGGAAACGGUGGCUAAUACUGGAUGUGCCGAGAGGUAAAAGGCUUGCUGCCUGAAGAAGAGCUUGCGUCUGAUUAGCUAGUUGGUGGGGUAAAGGCUCACCAAGGCGACGAUCAGUAGCUGGUCUGAGAGGAUGAUCAGCCACACUGGGACUGAGACACGGCCCAGACUCCUACGGGAGGCAGCAGUGGGGAAUUUUCCGCAAUGGGCGAAAGCCUGACGGAGCAAUACCGCGUGAGGGAGGAAGGCUCUUGGGUUGUAAACCUCUUUUCUCAGGGAAGAAAAAAAUGACGG